UACAGAGGCCUCGAGCGUUAGGCGGAAUCACUGGGCUUAAAGCGUGUGUAGGUGGAGUUCUAAGUACCUUGUGAAAUCCCACGGCUCAACCGUGGAACUGCUGGGUAUACUGGUUCUCUUGAGGUACCUAGGGGCGAGCGGAACAAGUGGUGGAGCGGUGAAAUGCGUAGAUACCACUUGGAACGCCAACGGUGAAAACAGCUCGCUGGGGGUAUCCUGACACUGAGACACGAAAGCCAGGGGAGCAAACGGG
rnacentral:rRNA from 1 species